rnacentral:sRNA from 1 species
AAAUGGCAGGGGGAUUUCCUUGAGGAGGUGCUACACUAAAGAAGAGUUCUUAGUUCUGAGUAGGUGACCAUCAAAGGAAGAAGUGAGGAUACUGCUUAAAUAGGAUGAGCAAAGCUGGCGCUACGUACAUCUUUGGGAAAAGCGGUGGGCUUAUCCUCUACACCUGGCCAGCCAAUGACAGGCCCAGCACGCGGUCUGACCGCCUUGCCGUGGGCUUCAGCACCACUGUGAAGGAUGGCAUCUUGGUCCGCAUCGACAGUGCUCCAGGACUUGGUGACUUCCUCCAGCUUCACAUAGUCAGAAAAUAUGUGCGGAACAGACCCUGAGAUGCUGACUGUGCAGGGCUGUUCAGAACCAGUCAGGGAUGACAUUAAUGAGGUAUUGCCUUUGCAACCUCAAGAAUGAAUAGAAGUUAAUCAGACCAGAAAAGAACCAUUUCACAAGGAGCAAUAUGUACACAUAAUUCAAGACAGCCAGAAUGUGAAGUAAGAGGAGAGUCAAGUUUUGUCAGCAUAUUAUAUGAGUGAGGG